CUACGGGGUGCACCAGUGAGGAAUAUUGCACAAUGGGGGGAACCCUGAUGCAGCAACGCCGCGUGGAGGAUGACGCAUUUCGGUGUGUAAACUCCUUUUAUAUGUCAAGAGAAUGACGGUAGCAUAUGAAUAAGCACUGGCUAACUCCGUGCCAGCAGCCGCGGUAAUACGGAGGGUGCAAGCGUUACUCGGAAUCACUGGGCGUAAAGGACGCGUAAGCGGGCUUGUAAGUCAGGUGUGAAAUCCUACAGCUUAACUGUAGAACUGCACUUGAAACUACGAGCCUAGAGUAUGGGAGGGGCAGAUGGAAUUAGUGGUGUAGGGGUAAUAUCCGUAGAUAUCACUAGGAAUACCUAAAGCGAAGGCGAUCUGCUGGAACAUAACUGACGCUAAGGCGUGAAAGCGUGGGGAGCAAACAGGAUUAGAUACCCCUGUAGUC
rnacentral:rRNA from 1 species